ensembl:lncRNA
CCGGGCGGCCCCGCGGGCCCCGAGGAGACGUGGAUGAAAGGAAAAGUUACGACGUGCAGCGAUUGUGUGUUGUCUUGAUCAAGUAAAAUAGGUUGUCGCAAAGAGGAAGCGGAGUGUAGUUAAAUUUGUUCAGUAGACGCUACGGGAAAUGCAGGAGAAGCAAACAAGGUGGCUUGGUGUGGUGCAAAUCUUUUGUUUCGAGGAGGUAGAAGGGAUGAAAGUACCGCAGGCCCCCAGGGAGAAGAGCUGAGAGCAGGUGUCCCUCGUCGGUGUGCAAGGGAUGCUGCUGGCCCCUCAGGGGCUGCCCGCUGGGCCGCUCAGGGCCUGGAGUAGGCAGUGGCAGAACAGCCCCGGUGAGGGCUCUGAGGACUUCAGAGAGAGAUGGGUGUGAUGCCAACCAGCUGGCCAAAUGUACAAACACGUGCUUUAUCCACCCUGCAGGUGCUGGGCUCUGGCAGGGACAGCCGAGCUCAAAGUCCUCUGGGCUCAGCCCUCAGCCAAAGCCAUCGCCUCUCAUGCUGCGUCUCCUCUUUCUACAUCCCUUCAACAGAAAACAAACAUGCCUGCAGCUGCGAAGGUUUCUCAAUACUAUCCUGCCAGUAACAUGCACGGAACAUUUUCAUCCACCAUAAAUCAAGCUCAAACUCAUAUAAAUAUUUGUUAAUCUAGAGCCCUUUUAAAGCUCUAAGUGUUACAGCUCUACCUGUAAUUCUCAUUAGGCAAUGCGGCAGCGUGUAUCUACAGUAACAUCUAAACUAGUUGUUUUUCUGAAACAUCUGUGUUGGGCUGGGGAAAAGAGAGGGAGAAGCAUAGCCUUACUGAUGUAACUACACAGCGAAAACAAGUUUCUGGCUCAAGAAGUUGGAGUAAUGGCUGUUCCCUGUAGUCUUGUGACCUCUGGGUUGGUGGUUAUAGACUCUUACCAUGUGGGGCAGUCAGCUCCGAAUUGCUAGAGUAGAAAUUAUUCCUUGUUGUUUGAGUCAUGGUAUCCACCAGAUCACACCAUUCUUUCUCCAACUACAUUUCUGGUUCAGUUCCAGUUCAGCUCAACCUCAGAAUAAUUCCUCCUAGACUGAAUAUGAAUUUCAACUCCAUCAAGAUCUAUGCUGAUCCAAUACCCUUUUCUUGUGAUAUACUGUGACAUAGGAUUCAGAUGACAAUUGAGGUAGCUGAGUGCUAUGAUUAUUUUCUGACUUUCUGUGACUCUUAUAUUGUGAUUCUCAUCUGUUCUGGCUUCUAAGUUUUUGUGGCUAUUGGAGAAAGGAUGAAGCAUCAUUAGAGUAUGUAUUCUAUGUAAGCAAGAUAAGACAUCAGAAGAACAUAAACAACACCUGCUAUACCAUUUAGAAAUAUGAGAGAUACGUAUUACCAAUAGCAGAGAGCAGUACUGAGACAAAAGAAGAUUAAAAACUAUCGGCUUUGUGUGUUUUGACUCCAAAAUGUUCCAAUCUGGACUGAAACUCCGUCACCAGAUCUUCCUCUUAUCAAGGUCAGAAUUCAUUUUGAAAUUCCAAGAUGAAAAUAACUAAAUUUCAACUUAAAAAGAAAGCUAAUUUUUCAGCCACAUGUUUGGUCGCCAUCCUGUCAGGUCAGCAAAACUGCAAAGCAAUUACCAAUUACUAAAAAAUGUAAUGAAGAACCUGUUUUAUGGAAGAGUCCAGUUUGUGUUUGCCUAAGGAUCAUUAUACUACCUCACAGCACUAAACUAUACAUGAUUUAAACAUUUCUAAAGGAAAUGGUUACAAAGUGCUCACUUUUCAUAUUCGUGUUUUACUGCAAGAUGAAAUUAACUGCAUUAUUUAUUUCCUUUCUAUUAUCUCUCAGUUUCUCAUACAUACAUACCUGUAUCUAUAAGGAUGUGCGUAUGUUGAUAGGAAUAUUUGAUGAUGGCAAAGUGUCAUUUCUUGGUAUUUUCAUCCUCCUUUUGCCCCCCUCUCCCCUGUCCUUUGCACCUUGAAAUCUCUCUUCAUAAAUAAUACGUAGCAAAGACUGUGAUUCGAUACUACCUGACUUACUUGUAUAUAGGCAACAGUAGGCUUGCAUAUGAAGUUUGCACAGUGCAUAUCUUGGUGGGCUGAGAAACAAAUAGCCAACUAUGUCACAGUAUUUUUGGUGUAAAUCAUUACAGGGAGCAUCAGUGUUACUUUGGGAGGAUGGCAGAGUAUUUUGGACGUAGGUAACUUACAAACGUGAAAAUUCUGAGUGCCAAACAGAACUAAAACAUAUUUCCCCCAUGCCUAGCAGUUGCAAUGCUUUCACAAGAGAAAACACAGCAAUCUAACUAUAAAUAGCAACUUAACUAAAAUUAGAUAGAACUGGCAGGCUGUAACGUAUGAAUGGGAGCACUGUUAAUAUGCUCAUCAGGUAUUGGACGGGAACCAAAUCUGACAAGGAAUGCUACAGUGCAAACUUUCUCUGCCUGGAAAAAUGAGCAGAAAUGGCUGAAUGAAUAGGGCCAGUGAUGUUUUUGUAACUGGAUAAUAAUGUCAGGGUCUGCCUAACUAUGCUGAUCAAAUUUAAAUGGAAUACUGCAAGUAGAAAUAUUUCUCCGUAUUCCUUGUUGCACUGGUUUGUUUGUGCCAACAGAAAAAUGCCAUUAAAUCUAGUGAAUGUGGCAAAUUAUUUAGGGGAAAAUUAAUGCUGAAAUACUUGGUAAAGUUAAACCAAGCUGGAUAAUGUUGUCAAUUUAAAGCGUGCAACUGCAUUUGUGUGUUUUUAUUCAGAAAUAGUUAACGGUUGUCUACACUCGUACAUGGUGAAGUUCCUGAGCAAUAAACAAGGAUGGUACUUGGAGACAUCUGCUGCCUGACAUCCUGUUCUGAAAAUGCUUUUGCCUCGGACAGCUUUGCUUCAUUCAGACUGGGCCCUACAGUGUAGAAAGUGCCAUUAUGGACAAGCCAUUGGAUAUCCUGGGCUCCUGCCAAAGCACCUUGAAGAUAAGGAAGGAGAUUUUGAGCUAGUCUCAACAGACUGAACAAAAACUGAUUCUCACAGGCUUCCAAAAGAGAAACAGUAGAGAAGUUUUUCUCUUAAGUAGGAAAUGCGUAAGUGGAUCAAGUAUAAAACUAUGUUUAAACAUAACUGUGAUAGUUUGAUCAUUUUUAAUGAGAAAUAUUAAAAUUAAACGAUUUUAUCUUGGUCUACAGUAGACCCUUCUCAAAUCAGUGUUUGUCAAUAAGAACACAAAUAUACCCCUAUUAUAUCACAACUGAUUAUUUGAAGGGGCUGCAAUAUUUGCUAUCGUGGCUUUUUUUUUACAGAAGCGAUAUAUUCGUAUAGCUGUACCAACCUGUUGUUAAAGUGCAAACAGAUUUGAGUCUUACAUAACUCUGUUUUCAUUCUGGCUUCAGGAAAUAAGCCUAAGUUAUUCUAAGUCAAACUCUAAAAAUAAUGAACCUUUGAAACUAAUAUUGCCCCAGCCACUCUGCAGAUCCGUCACUAUCACAUUAACAAGGCUGUUAGACUGGUCUGAAGCCUUUGUGAAGCUGGAAGGAAAAGUAGGUUUAGGUUGCAGCUAAUGUUUUUGGCUUAGGAGAAAGUUUGUGUUGUAACGAUGCUAGCUAGUGCUUUGAAAUACAAUCCUGCAGGGUUUAAAACAACACUGUUGUUUCUCAUUGAGGGGACUUAAUGUUUGGAUUAGCCGCUUGAUUAGGAAGGCUAUGACCUUUGUUUAUGGAAUAGCUGCAGUAUUUUUAGUCCAACAGGAACACAAAUUUUGAUGUAGACAGUGCUGAUAAUGAAGCAUCAGUUUUCACUGGGAAACAUUUCAUGUCGGUUGAGGAGAAGGAAUGAAGUCUAGUGAGAAUCUAAAUGUGCUUGAUGAUUAACUGUGUAUGCACGAAGUGGGAACAAACAACGCAACAAACUUACUAAAAAAUCUCUGUAUGAAGAUAUAAAGCUUGUUAGAAUAUUGCUAUUUUUCUUUCUGAAAGCCUCUUUGUGGAAAACCAUUCACACAUUUCUUAAGCAGAGUUAAUCAAUUUAAAAGAUUUGAGAAUAAAAGCUUCAGAAGCAAAUCUAUCCUGGAUCCCAAGCAGUGAUUCCAAAAGAAAAGAUAUUUAAACAAAAAAAUACUAUCAACGGAAUUAAUGAAAGUUCAGGUUACCUUUCACAAUUCCAUCUUAUUUUUUAACCACGUUCUUUUCUCUUUCCAGCUCCUCCACUUCUUCAUAUUUAAAGCAUUUUUUGAGAUAGCUGCCACUAGAGGUCAGAUGUUUAUCAUUAUCUUUAGUGUCAUUAAUGGCUAUUAGUACUGCGUAGGUUGAAAAUAAUAUCACUCCAAACUGGAUUAAAUUAUUCUCUUUCUUACAUAGCAAUAACGUAGAUAUGAAUCCAAAUGGGAAAAGCACUCUUUAGAGAUCAGAAUGCUUACAACUGUUUAGUUGUAAUUUUGUAUAAACAGUUGUAGAGUUUGCUUUCUAUUGAAAGACAGUAUCACAGUGCUGAUGUGUUAUUUGUGCCUUUUUCAAUUUGAUAUGCUCAAAAAAAUGAACAAUAACAACAACAAAAAACCAACCACCAGUACAGACUAAUCUAGACUAUUCAACAUUUUAGCAGUCACCCUGGAAAAGCUAAUUGGUAACAUUUCCUGGGGAGCAUUGUAGUUUGCUAUGUAUGAAGAUGAAAUUUCCAGACACAUGAAGAAGAUACGUGCAUUAAUUUGAGUUACUGAAGUGCCAAAAGUAACAGAGAAAUCAUAGCUUUCACAUUAGUAACGGUGAUGAAAAUAGAUGUUAGAUGCAGUAUUUGCACUUUUUGAAUCAUGUACAGAAGUCUUCUCUAGCAACUUGUAGCAACCCAAAACAGAUGAAUAUGCUUCUCCUUUGGUGGCGGAUGUGCAUGUCCCUGCAUUUAGAUGAGGUUCUGGUGAGUGAACAGUGGGAUUAUGUGCAGUGUAGCAAUGUAGACCCCAGAGUGCCAGGAGAAUAUUAGAUUCAAAGGAAUCAAGUUCCCACAAAAUAUGUAAAAAAUGGCAACUGAAUAGUCAAAAGUGGGGUAGAUUAGUGUUCGCCUAUUGACUUGGACACGUACCAGUGCAAAAGGAAGCAGUCAACUGGCCAAGCAGCAAGAGCCUGGAAUAAAAUUGGCAUUCCCCAGAUGAGAGGUACUGUCGAACUGCCAUUCAAUGCAGGGGGGAUAAUAGUGCUGGAAGGAAAGGAAAUAUCUAAAGGAAGCAGGAAGAAGAGGUGGUUAGCUGAUGUAUGGAAAUAGUUCAAAUAAAGUAAACCCUUAAUUUUUCCAGCAAGUUAUUAGCUAGAUAAUCACUUAUACUACCUUGCAUGAAAAUACAAAGGAUGUACAAUGUUUGCUGGUUUUGGUCUUUCCCACAGUGCAGAAAAUAUGCAUGCAGACAAGCAUGAAUAGAAAAACAAUUAUUCCAGUUCCAAACAUAUUAUUCUUUUCACAGAUUAUGAGGAUUAUAUAUUUAUACAGGAUUAUAAUAUAAUUUUUAUGCUUGGAAGUGCCAAAGAGAAAUUGACAGUUUAUUACAAUGAGAUAUUAAUUAAACUAAAACAGUCCACUAAAAAACGUUAACUAAAC